rnacentral:lncRNA from 1 species
CAGGAGAGUCCCCACCAGAGGCCCCUCCUUUGCUGACCUCCCAGGUAAGGGUUUGGAUCUCUGUGUGUGAGUGCUAAUGACCGGUAACAACCACCACAGCAGCCGAGGUGGGCUGGCACAGGACCUGGUGCCUUUGCUGUGAUGAAGCUUCUCGCCAGGAGCCUGUGGGUGCGUGUGGGUUACGUGAGCCGCGUCCUGGGGACAGAUCCUCUGUCCUGUGAGCUCAGCUCUGCUGCCCUCACUCCGCUGGAGCCACCGAGAGACUCGGCGCCUGUCGGCAGCUCCAGAUGCCCCAGGACACUGACGUGGGAGACUCGCUCUGGUCCAGAAUCAGCAGUGUCCUCUGCUGAGAAGCAUCCUUGCCUCCUGGGCUCUGAAAGCGCCUCCAGCCAAGAUGCGGAGGGCCCAAUAUCCCCAAGAACUGACAGGACAGUGACCAUGAGGCUGAGGGAGAAUUGAGUGGAAACAAGCCAGUUGUGAGGUUCGUUCUCAAUCUUUCUCUCUCACGUCACUGAUCUUUGUUAUCACAACGAGCGAGAGUGACUCAAGUCACUGGAAAUAUGGCCAAAUUGAGUGUUUUCUUCUGGAAAGGACGACGUCUGUAACUCCGGGCGACUGGAGAGAACCAGGACACACGGACGCUCACUGUCCCCAGGGCGGCUCCUGCCCUCGGGCCGUCAAGUUCGUCUCAGUCAGCAGAGCUGAACAAGGUCUGGUAUCCGCUUCGAAACAGAUGGCAGUGAGGUGCGGGGUACAGUGAUCUCCAACACGGCACGGCCGACGGUGCCCGGACCUGGGCGUCUUCCCCACCCCUGCCCCG